AUCUUAUAUCUUAUAUUUAUGUAUGUAUCUUAUAUCUAUAUAUUUAUGUAUGUAUCUUAUAUCUAUAUAUUUAUAUUUAUAUUUAUUAUAUCUGUGACAAUCUGCCAUUGAGUGUGACAGCUUCUCUGCACUGGCUGCCUGGAAAUGUAGGAUAGAAUUCAAAAUUCUCCUGCUCACCUACAAAGUACUCAAUGAUAAAGCUCCUUCUUAUCUUAAAGACAUCAUAGUUCCUUAUGUUCCCAGUAGAACGCUUUGUUCUCAGAGCGCUGGGCUACUUGUGGUUCCUAGAAUCUUUAAAUGUAGAACGGGGGGCAGAGCUUUUAGCUACCAAGCUCCUCUCCCCCGGAACCAGCUCCCUCUUCAGGUUUGAGAAGAUGACACACUCUCCACCUUUGGAGAUAUGUAGGAGAAAUGUGAUCUCUCUUUCUAAGUCCUGUCUGAACUCUGGCUGCAGCAUUUUGAAUAAGCUGUAGGCUUUUUAACGAGCUGUUAGGGCAUCCUAUGAGUAAGCAGUUACAGUUGUCCAGCCUAGAGGUGACAAAUGCAUGAAUCAGUUUCUCUGCAUCGCUCUGAGAGAGGAUGGUUUUGAUUUUAGUUAUAUUUCUAAGAUGAAAGUAGGCGGUUCUAGAGAUUUGUUUAAUGUAUGAUGUAAAAGAGAGAUCCUGGUCAAAGAAGACACCAAGGUUCCUUACAGUAGAAUCUGAAGCUAAUGUUAUGCUAUCCAGGGUGGCUAUCAGACUCAAUAGUGUCUCCCUCUGAUUUUUAGGCCCAACGAUAAGAAUUUCAGUUUUAUCUGAAUUUAGUUGAAGGAAGUUUUGGGACAUUCAGGAUUUAAGGCUAUGAUGUUUUCUAAAUCCUGACUGAAAAUCUGUGCAGGUUAUUCCCACUCAGGUAGUCAGAUAAUUGUUUAGCUAUGAUUUUUUUCAAGAAUAUUAGAAAUAAAGGGAAAAUUUGAAGUGGGCCUAUAGUUGGCAAGUUCUCCAGGGUCCAGAGUAGUUUUUUUCAAUAAAGGUUUGAUUACAACCACCUUAAAAGCCUGUGGUACAUAUCCUAAAUGUAAAGAUUGGUUGAUUUGAUUUGAUUUAAUAUGGACAAGCUGAUUAAAGGUAGAACUUUUUUGAGUAAUCUGGUUGUGAUUGGAUCUAAAAGACAAGUAGGCAACUUGGAAGACUUUAUUAUUGAAGUUAACUCCAUAUGAGUUAUGCGGAAAAAGCUGUCUAGGUAAAACAGAGAACUUGGUAAACUUAAAGUUGAUGGAUCUAGAGGGUGAUUUCCGUCAUUUGGAAAAAGAGGCUGAUCACUGUUUUCUCUAAUGGUGAUAAUUUUAUUAGUGAAGUACUGUAGUUCAUAGUCAUUGCUGCUGAGAUUUAAGGGGAUAGUAGGCUCAGCACAGCUAUGACUCUUAGUCAGCCUGACUACAGUGCUCAAAAGAAACCUGGGGUUGUUUUUGUUUUUCUCAAUUAAGGAGGAAUAAUAUGUUUUUCUAGCAGCACAAAGUGCCUUUUUUAUAUAUCAUUAGACUGUCCUUCCAUGCUAUACAGUUUACAUUCAUUUUGAUAGAACGCCACUGCCUUUCUAGUUGUCUGGUUCUAUGCUUUAGGCUGCAGAAUUCUGAGUUAUACAUAUAUACGUAGAAAAACUGCAGCAGCAUCUACAAGACAGUCAACUUGUUCGUAAGGAUUAAGGUGACUGUCUUCCUUUGUGUAGCUUCAAGACAAUGAGGCAAAAGAUGAUGGAAUCAUCUGUUUGAAUCUGGCAACAGCGUUGUCAGAUAAACAUCUGCUAUAGUAAUAUUUCUUUCCAGCUGCUGAUCAAUUAUGGUACAUUCAAAAGUAAAUAAGAAAUGGUCAGAUUUUCAGGUUCAGGUUUUGGGGAAGAAUUAUUAAAUUAUCAAUUUCAACCCCAUAUGUCAAAACAAGAUCGAGGGUAUGGUUAAAAAGAUGAGUGGGUUCAUUUACAUGCUGAGUAAAACAAAUAGUGUCUAUUAAGGAGUCAAAAGCAGUGCUGAGACAGUUGCUGACAACAUCUACAUGAAUGUUAAAGUCUCCCACUACAAUGACCUUAUCUGUGCUAAGGACAAAGUCAGAUAAAAAUUCACAGAAUUCAGUUAAAGCUCUAAAUAUGGAGCAGGAAGAUGAUACACAACUGGCUUCUGGGUUUUAGAGUCCGGGUGAGAAAGGCUCAGAGUGAGGCUUCUCAAAUGAGUUAUAACUAUGUUUAUGUUUAGGAGUAAUUCAUAAAUCUGAGUUAUAAAUUGGUGCUCCACCGCUACCUACUUCUAGGAACAUGAUAGUUGAUGUGGCUCAUUGGACCAACCGAGCAGCUCUAGCUGGAAGUUAACAGACACAGUCAGACCUGGAGCUAGUUAGAAGCCCCACGCUGCACAUGUAAGCGUCCUGUGAUUGAAUAAUCACUGGCACUUUAAAAAAUGUCUGAUGCGUUGGUUCCCAACAGCUGUCGCUGUGUCUAAUCCACGAUGCUGAAGAAGCAGAUGCUGUUUUUAAGACGUGUCUUAUAUGAAAUAGGAAAAAAGAUUUCAACGUGAACUCAAGUGCAAAAUAAAGGCAGGGCAAGAGGAGCUACAGGAAGAAGCUGAAGGCAAGGUUAACGCAGAAUGUGUGGAAGGGCUUGAAGACCAUCUCUGGCCACGGAGAUUUGACUCCAGCCCUCCCCCCUCUACUUGAGGGUUGGCAGGUGGUACAUCUUAAUAUAAAAAUACAAACUAUUAAAAUGAAUUAAGAUGAAAUUUUGUACCCCUGACAUUAAAGGAGUCAUAUCAUGCUUUUCAUUCUAAAAAAUAUUAGACUUUAAUGUCACAGUAAGGCCUCUGUAAAUUUUCAUCCCAUAAAACCCUUUAGAUCGUCCACACUGCCCCUGUCAAUGUGUGGUUUUCACUCUCCAUCAGCAAACGCUGUGUUUUCUGGGCGUGUCGCAAGCGAAGCUGCUCACCACACCUCUGUGCGGAAGUGCAUACCUUUUUUGUUGUUGUUUUUUUUUUAAAAUUGGCUCCAUGGAUACGAGCCACCGCACGGUUAGGAUACGAUAGGUGGCAGUAGUGCGACAUUGAGAAUGCAAUCCACCGCAAUCCUCCACAGAAGAAGAAGACCCACUACAGAACUGCACGACAUUAGUCAGCUGGUUCGUAGCGUAGUAGAACCAUACGUCUACGAUCCCGAAUCUGACCCUGAAGCUGAAGAGGAGGCUGUUGAAGUCACCACAUUUCGGCUGAUGCAAGAUGUGUCUCAUUGUUGUUACAGGUAUCUAGUCUACAGAGGCUAGUGAGCUGGUGCUGAGGAUUCCUGGGGUGAAGAAUCUGAGUUGCCAUCUCUUCAUGCUUGGGUUGUAGAUGAAGGCAGUUUCCUGAUGGAUAAAACACUAAAACACUCAUAGUAUGAUUGAUGUAGACCACCUGUAGAAUAACUCGUUUACUGUUUGAGUAAAAAUGUGUUUUUUGAGUGCAACACUCAUUAAGAAUUUUUUUUACUUUAUUUAUAUAUAAUUUAUAUGCGUUUUAUUUAUGGCCGCUUCAACUUUAUAGCUUACCAUAUUAGAAAGAGAAAAACAUGUAAUUUCAAUACUAUGAUUUCCUAAAUAAAAGUGUUUUCCCUUCAGAAA